CGCCGAUGCCGCGGAAUGGCCUGAGCCUGAGCCCGAGCCCGAGCCUGAGCCAGCGGUGCUGAUCCCGGUGCUGGCACCAGGCUUCCAGCUCUGGAUGGAGAUCUUGGUGUAGUCGACCUUCCGGAUCUCCGUCUUCCACCGGUGCCGUGUUCGAGUCCGUGGCUUCGGCCGGGCUGAACCGUAACGACCGAGCGGAUCCGGUCAAAGGAAACGGAAUUCAGGGAUGGAGCGGCGGCGGCGGCGAGAGACACCGGUAGGAUGUACCGAGAGAAGAGAUCAGCAUGGCCGCUGCUGCAGAGAGAGAGAGAGAGAGAGACAGAGACAGACAGACAGAGAGAGAGAGAGAGAGUCUUUGUCUCCCUCUCUCUACCACUUGUUUCAUUUUUUUUAACUGUCAGAACAAUUAUUCCAAAUAAUAAUUUCACUCAUUCUGAAAACUGACCAUAUACUUAAAGCAUUACUUAAAGUGUAAUAUAAUAUAUAAAUACAAUAUUUAAAAAAAUAUUUAAAUGUAGUAAAUAAAAACUAUUUUAAUACAAAUAAAAAACAACAACUUCUACUUUUACAUUAAAAAAUAAUAUUUUAACAGAUCAUUGCAUAUCUGCUCAGUCAUUUGCUCUGUCAGGCAUCAAGCCCCGCCCAACGUCUUUAUCUGGGUGUGCACCCUCAAGCUCAUUUGCAUAAUGGGCUGGGAUUGCCCUCUUGGAAUUUGUGACGCAGCAAAUCCCGUUUUUCCAUGUAUAUAGUGCAUUUCCAUCUGCAUCAGAAGCUCAAAGCGCUUUACAAUUAUGCCUCACAUUCACACAGACACACUCACACACCAAUGCUACUACACACCGGGAGUAACUUGGGGAUUAAGGCCCUUGCCCAAGGGUCCAUAGUGAUUUUCCAGUCAGGCUGGGGUUUAAACUGAGGAUCCUCUGGUCUCAAGCCCAACGCUUAACCACUAGACCAUUACUUCCCCUACUCAGGAUAAAGUUCAGGAGAGGACUGACAAAAGCACAACACUGAGUACUAUUCAUGAAAAAUCAGGGUGUGCACUUCCAUCUUGCUACCUAGAGGGCGCUGUGUAAUGGUGACAGUUGUGGCAAUGUUACUAGCUUAAUUCAUAUCAAAAAUGCUGAUGCAUUUGGUUUCGAGAAUGUUGUCAGAUGUGGCCGUUCAUUCUAAUCGCUCGUUAAAACUAAUUAUAAUUGAUUGGUUUACGAUGCAGCAGUGUAGCAGCUAGCUAGCACUGAGCCAAAGCUAAUUCAUAUAUUUUCGCAACUGGUCAAAGUUGUACGCGGUUCAUGUUUGAGUAUAACGACAGCACAAAUAAAUUAAUGUUAGUUGCUUGUGUUGAGUGUUAGUCAAAGCUAACUGGUGUCGCGAUAAAGUCAAAGCUAACAGUCUUAUUGAUAACUGAAUUCAAAGAUGAAUACCUGGGUAGUCUUUUCUAAAAGAUCAAAUUAUUAAUUAAGCUCACAGCUAGUAAUACUUUUUUUUAAAUUGUAAUCCAAAGUGCUUCAUGAGACAGAAGUGUGAAAUCGCUAGCGUUCAUGUCAAAACACGAAAAUGGAAAAUUGAUAAAAGAUGAUCCAAAAAUGAAAAUGUGACAAGAAUGACCAUUUCCUAUUAUCUGUAAUUGUGUUAUUGUUCUCUUGCUCUCAUUGUGUUGGACGGAUGAAUCAAGCCCCGCCCAUCAUCAGGUCACCGGGGAGCUGAUGGAGGUGACAGCUGUGACUCGAGGCUACCAGACGGCUCCGCCCAUUACUGUCAGACAAGCCAGUCAAGCAUUCAUCCAGACAUGACAAGAGAUAGAAUCAAGGCUCUUUGCACCUGAUCUUUCUGCAGCUCCCAGAUGCAGAGCGGCAGCACGGCCACCAGCAGCAAAGCGUACAGAACCAAAACCAGUGGCCGGAUCCACCUCCUCCACUCUGCACAGGAACACGGCAUGACUGCGGCUUCACCCUCAGUGCCACCGCCUACAGGAGCAUCCUGGACCGCUGGAGAAGAGGUCCGUCCUUCCUGCUGCUGUUAGACUGUACAAUCUGCACUUCUCCCAGUAAGUGUAUAUAUAUUUACUUUUGUAUAUUCCACUUCAACAAACUGUGCAAUAGUUUUUGUAUAUUGUGUAUAUAUUGUGAUUUGUCAUGUCUUGGUAUUUAUCCUGCCUUCUAGUUCCACAUUUCUGCCUGACUGUUACGCAAUUUCUAUUACUGCUGCUGCUGACUAAAAAAGGAAAAUCUUCUCCAAUCUCUCUAUUUGUUGAUUAAUUAGAAGUUUUUUAAUUCAUAUUGACUAUUUUCUUUCCCUGAUUUUGAUGCGCUGACAGGUUGUUAUUGUAAUCUGUUGUGUGUUUUGAUGUACAUAAUUUAAAAGCUAAGCUAAUUUAAAAGUUAAAGUAAUCAUCUUAACAUAUUUACAAGGUUUAAGGUGUCACUAUGGUUCAGUUCUUCUCCAAGAUCAGUUGGAUCCACUUCUGGAUCCAGAAUACAGAUAAAAAAAAUAAAAAAAAACUUUAUACGUAAAUGAGUCCAUUUGUAAUUUUUGCUUCUCAUCUCAGAAAGAGCAAAGA